AAUAUAUGUCUUCAGCUAAUUUUUGUAUUUUUAGUAGAGACGAGGUUUCACCAUGUUGGCCAGGCUGGUCUCGAACUCCUGACCUCAAGUGAUCCACCCGCCUCAGCCUCCCAAAGUGCUGGGAUUACUGGCAUGAGCCACCGUGUCCAGCCUCUCAAUUAUUUUAAAGUGCGCAUUACUAAAUUGUUAAUAGUAGGUACUAUGUUGUAGAAGAGAUCUCUAGAACUUAUUCAUCUUGCGUAAAUGAAACUUUCUGUGCUUUCAGCAGCAAUUUCCCAUUUCCCUUUCCCUCUACCCCCUGGAAACUAGCAUGCGAUUCUCCGUUUCUGUGGGUUUUAUUUUUAACAGAAAAACACAAAACCCUAUUUUUUCAGUAUAUUAAAGAUUAAAUGUAAUCUAAUUCUGCCUCUUUUUCUGCGUAUGUGAUGCAGGAUCUUUUGCUCCUUAGUUCAGCUAAAAUCCAGGUUCUUGUCACACGACCAGGAAAAAUUAGGCACGUGGACCCAUUGAAAAGUGAGGA
rnacentral:lncRNA from 1 species